AAAGGCUGCAAAUAAGAGACUGUAACAGUGAUAUAAAGCAGUGCCUUACUCUGAAUCGCGGGGACUUUUAUUAUGGCGCAUUGCCGUGCAUUGAUGUGGAGUGCUUCACAGUUCGGGGCACUUCCGAUUUCUCCGUGAAUCAGUCAUUACGUUCACUCAACGAGGAGAGAAACGAGCCGAGCGAAGUCUGGAGACUCACGGCUGUAUAUGAUUGCUGUUUGUUCCUGUUAGUUUAUAAAACUGUGUGCGUCCAGAGGAAAAACCACACACACACACAAACACCACACACGGCUCUACAAGUUCAUACACGCAUAAAUGCAAGCAAAGUUGGAUCUAUGCCGUCUUUAAGGAACAUUUAAGCACAAGGCAAUACAAUCAUCAUCCUCCAGUAUCCAUGCCCAUUCCAUGUAUGUGGUUAGAAGACGUUAACAUACAAGUUACAACUGGCUCCCCCUCUGCAUAUGACUGUAAUCAAUAAAUCAUUCAAGUAUA